ensembl:lncRNA
GUAGUGUUCGAAGGAUUUUCUCAUCACCAUGAAGCGGAGAAGCAAUACCAACGUCACCAGGAGGAGUUCAACAAUUAAAAGGCGCAGUGAGAAUUUGCGUUUUGAUGAAUUCGGCUUUGCUCUCACUAAAAAAAAGGACCAGAAACUUCAUCACCGGUGUCACGAUUACAGCUACCCCCAGCUGAGCUCAGUGAGGGUGAAAGAGCUGUGUGAGCUGCUCAGCUACUGGAAUGGAGCCAGCUUUAUCUGCAAGAGCCAAAUUGAGCGAUUUAUCAAAAUGGGUAUCCCUCCAAGCCUGCGCGGCAGAGUAUGGAAGUGCCUGCUUACCACUGAUAUUUUGAGAGAUGCCAGUGACUUCAACUACCAGACAUGUUUGUCUGAGGUGCGAGGACCUUUGGUCGACCUGGGAGUCAGUGAAUACGGCAUCUUGUCUGCA